rnacentral:rRNA from 1 species
AUGACGAUCAUCAGCUGGAACUGCCGGGGCCUCGGGCAGCCACGGACAGUUCAAGAGCUAGUGUGUUUGUUGCACACAUACAAGCCCAAGCUCGUGUUCAUUUCUGAAACUCGGCAGAGCAAUAAGUAUGCGAAAGGAUCGAGAAGAGGUGUCUAG